rnacentral:tRNA from 1 species
ACCUAGGUGGCUCAGUAGGUUUAGCAUCUGACUUCAGCUCAGGUCAUUAUCUCAUGGUUCAUGGGUUUGAGCCCCAUGUUGGGCU